rnacentral:snRNA from 1 species
UUGAAUGGUAAUACGGUACAA